AUAGCUCUGUCUCGACUGAAUCCUGACGCAAUGCGUCAGAGACUUAUUAGGUCGGACGGGGCUUU
rnacentral:ncRNA from 1 species